rnacentral:rRNA from 1 species
GAUCCUGGCUCAGGAUGAACGCUGGCGGCGUGCCUAAUACAUGCAAGUCGAACGCUUUGUGGUUCAACUGAUUUGAAGAGCUUGCUCAGAUAUGAUGAUGGACAUUGCAAAGAGUGGCGAACGGGUGAGUAACACGUGGGAAACCUACCUCUUAGCAGGGGAUAACAUUUGGAAACAGAUGCUAAUACCGUAUAACAAUAGCAACCGCAUGGUUGCUACUUAAAAGAUGGUU